UACAGAGGUGGCAAGCGUUGUUCGGAAUUACUGGGCGUAAAGGGCUCGUAGGCGGCCAACUAAGUCAGACGUGAAAUCCCUCGGCUUAACCGGGGAACUGCGUCUGAUACUGGAUGGCUUGAGUUUGGGAGAGGGAUGCGGAAUUCCAGGUGUAGCGGUGAAAUGCGUAGAGAUCUGGAGGAACACCGAUGGCGAAGGCAGCCUUCUGGGCCAACACUGACGCUCAUGCACGAAAGCGUGGGGAGCAAACAGG
rnacentral:rRNA from 1 species